rnacentral:rRNA from 1 species
UACGUAGGGUGCGAGCGUUAAUCGGAAUUACUGGGCGUAAAGCGUGCGCAGGCGGUGCACCAAGCUCGAUGUGAAAGCCCCGGGCUUAACCUGGGAAUUGCAUUGAGGACUGGUGUGCUCGAGUGCGGCAGAGGGGGGUGGAAUUCCACGUGUAGCAGUGAAAUGCGUAGAGAUGUGGAGGAACACCGAUGGCGAAGGCAGCCCCCUGGGCCGACACUGACGCUCAUGCACGAAAGCGUGGGGAGCAAAC